CUUGUAGAUGUUGAUGCAUAUUUACACGGGAAGCUAUGAAGAACUACAAGAGCCUAGAGGCCCACAACUAUUUCAGGUCAGGCUGGGUGGAAACAUUCUUCUCAUACCAACUCCAUCCAAGCCAGCAUAUACUUCUGAAGGCAAAAGCUGUCUGAAUCCUGUUCUCAUGUUGCCGCAGUCCUGUUUAAGCUAGAAGCAGCUGUGAGACUUGGAUACACUACGAAAGCUUGUACCGAGGAACCGUGCAAAUGGAAUCAAGACUUUAUGAAGAAAAUUGGCCCUGAUCCAAUAGCGCAAAUUAGUUUUUACAGUGAUACCAAAUUUGAAAAAUCACGUCAGCGCAGUAAGAAGAGAAUAUUUCAGUUCGAACCUUCUAAAGAAAAUGAACAGGCUAAGUUUCUAGAUGCUUUAAAAUGUCUGAAGUCUAAACCAGUCUUGCUGAGUUGUUUUAAUAUUUAUUCAGAGGAUUUUCAUUGGAAGCAGUCAGCCAAGCCCAAUUCAAAAUUAGCACCAUCCUUAAGAACGCUGUAUAAUGAAAGUAAUACAAAACUUACUGAAAGUGAAUUGGUGAUAAAUGUAAAGCUCAGCUUCAGAAAAUGGAACUCAGUGAAGAGUCUAUUAAAUUUAUCUACAAGUCUACCACAACCCAGAGUGACAAUUUAAUGUGGUAUGAGCAAAGAGUGGGUUGAAUAACAUCCUCUACUGUUCAUGCCAUUACACACACUAACAUAGAAAACGCUGCAAAGUCUAUAAUUCUGAGUGUAUGCAAGCCAAGAGAUCACCCAUUAAAAUGUGAACCUGUGCUUUGGGGCAUAAAAAUGAAGAUGCAGCUUUAAGUGCGUACAAGUGUUAACUGUCGUCAUCUCAUACCAAAUUUCCAAAUUUCGAAGGAUUAUCCAUUCAUUGGCGUAAGUGUGGACAGCCUGAUGACUUGUGACUGCCAUGGAAUCACUGUUGUGGAAGUGAAAUGUCCAUAUACAGCUAAAAACAAAGAUUGUAAGACAUAUUUGAAUUCUUCAAAUUGUCAUUUGGACAAUAACCAAUUUAAGAAAUCACACAAGUAUUUCUCACCGGUGCAGCUGCAAAUGUAUGUUUACAAUGCAAAGUGUUGUGACUUCAUUACUUGGGCACCAAAAUUUGUAAUCAUUACAUAUGUUGAAAGAGAUGAUGAAUUUAUAAAGAACAUGUUAAACAAAUGCAAGAAUAUUUAUGUGGCUCAUAUCUUUCCGGAACUACAUACACGAAGGCUGGAAAUGUAACAGUAUGCUGAAGUCACACAAGAAAAACCUAACCACCAAAAACUUUACUGUUCAUGUCAGAUGCCUCAAGAUGAAAAAGAGUAAAUUGGAUGUGACAAUCCAGACUGUGAAAUUGAGUGGUUCCAUUGCAAUGCUUGAAAAUUAAAAGAAAACCAAAAGGUCAAUGGUUCUGUCCCACUUGUAGAAAAUAACUGAACCAGCUGCAUUUGUGUAAUGGACAGUAUGCAAAGUGCAUAUCAUUGACAAAAUAAAAAAACAAUUAGAUAUAUUUAUAAACAAGAAAUGCAUGAAUUAAAGAAUAAGUGAGCUAUUACUAAUCUUUCAGAUUUGGACA